UCAGGCCCGUUCAUCGUCUACAUGUUGAGAGACAUUGAUAUCCUGGAAGACUGGGCAGCUAUACAGAAGCUUCACCUGGAAUGCUUUUCCAACAAUCUUGAAGGACUUCCCACUGCUUUGCCUUCACUCUGCGGUCCAACUCAUCCCAAACCAUCUGUCUGUCUUUCAGGCUAAAGCAACACUGAUGCCGCUCAAGAAAAAAACAGACAAGCGGUGAUAACAGAGGAGUGUGUCACAGACGUCUAGACAAAGUCUCUGCGCUACAGAAGAGAAACCACAGCAACAGAACAGCCUUGAACACAGGCCAGUAGGGUCCUGUUCAGUAGCGCGUACUGUUACAAAAAAAAACAUUUAGCAACAGAACAUGACAAUCUCUCUUCUUUUUGAACACGUUCAGGUGGUAUACCUCCCGUAUUCACUCUGUUUGGAACUGUUUAGUCUCUCUAAGACCCAGGGAAAGAAGAAGAGGAAACAAAUCACCUUUAUAUAACCAGCUAGCCAGACCCAGAUCUCAAUAUACCUUUAAAUAACCAGCUAGCCAGACCCAGAUCUCAACUCACCUUUAAAUAACCAGCUAACCAGACCCAGAUCUCAAUAUACCUUUAAAUAACCAGCUAGCCAGACCCAGAUCUCAACUCACCUUUAAAUAACCAGCUAGCCAGACCCAGAUCUCAAUAUACCUUUAAGUAACCAGCUAGCCAGACCCAGAUCUCAAUAUACCUUUAAAUAACCAGCUAACCAGACCCAGAUCUCAAUAUACCUUUAAAUAACCAGCUAGCCAGACCCAGAUAUCAAUAUACCUUUUAAUAACCAGCUAGCCAGACCCAGAUCUCAAUAUACCUUUAAAUAACCAGCUAGCCAGACCCAGAUCUCAAUAUACCUUUAAAUAACCAGCUAGCCAGACCCAGAUCUCAAUAUACCUUUAAAUAACCAGCUAGCCAGACCCAGAUCUCAAUAUACCUUUAAAUAACCAGCUAGCCAGACCCAGAUCUCAACUCACCUUUAAAUAACCAGCUAACCAGACCCAGAUCUCAACUCACCUUUAAAUAACCAGCUAGCCAGACCCAGAUCUCAAUAUACCUUUAAAUAACCAGCUAGCCAGACCCAGAUCUCAAUAUACCUUUAAAUAACCAGCUAGCCAGACCCAGAUCUCAAUAUACCUUUAAAUAACCAGCUAGCCAGACCCAGAUCUCAACUCACCUUUAAAUAACCAGCUAGCCAGACCCAGAUCUCAAUAUACCUUUAAAUAACCAGCUAGCCAGACCCAGAUCUCAACUCACCUUUAAAUAACCAGCUAGCCAGACCCAGAUCUCAAUAUACCUUUAAAUAACCAGCUAGCCAGACCCAGAUCUCAAUAUACCUUUCAAUAACCAGCUAGCCAGACUCAGAUCUCAACUCACCUUUAAAUAACCAGCUAGCCAGACCCAGAUCUCAAUAUACCUUUAAAUAACCAGCUAGCCAGACCCAGAUCUCAAUAUACCUUUUAAUAACCAGCUAGCCAGACCCAGAUCUCAAUAUACCUUUAAAUAACCAGCUAGCCAGACUCAGAUCUCAACUCACCUUUAAAUAACCAGCUAGCCAGACCCAGAUCUCAAUAUACCUUUAAAUAACCAGCUAGCCAGACUCAGAUCUCAACUCACCUUUAAAUAACCAGCUAGCCAGACCCAGAUCUCAACUCACCUUUAAAUAACCAGCUAGCCAGACCCAGAUCUCAAUAUACCUUUAAAUAACCAGCUAGCCAGACCCAGAUCUCAAUAUACCUUUAUAUAACCAGCUAGCCAGACCCAGAUCUCAAUAUACCUUUAAAUAACCAGCUAGCCAGACCCAGAUCUCAAUAUACCUUUAAAUAACCAGCUAGCCAGACCCAGAUCUCAACUCACCUUUAAAUAACCAGCUAGCCAGACCCAGAUCUCAAUAUACCUUUAAAUAACCAGCUAGCCAGACCCAGAUCUCAAUAUACCUUUAAAUAACCAGCUAGCCAGACCCAGAUCUCAACUCACCUUUAAAUAACCAGCUAGCCAGACCCAGAUCUCAAUAUACCUUUAAAUAACCAGCUAGCCAGACCCAGAUCUCGAUAUACCUUUCAAAAGUUUGGGGUCACUUAGAAAUGUCAUAAAAACCACCUAAGUUAUUGACACGUAUUUAUAAUUAAAAUGUCCAUUAAAAAGUCCAAGUAGGGGACAGAAAGGAGAGCGAAAUGUAUUUAUCCCAGUUGAGACGGUACAUUAAUGCUGUCUGCUGGGUUAGUAACGCAUUACUUGGACAUUUUAAUGGACACUUGAGUUAUAAAUACAUUUCAACAACUUAGGUAGCUUUAUGACAUUCUUACUGCAGGUCUAUGAUAGGUCUAUGACAGGUCAAUGAUAGGUCAAUGGCAGGUCUAUGGCAGGUCUAUGACAGGUCUAUGACAGUUCUAUGACAGGUCUAUGAAAGUUCUAGGUAAAUGAUUUGAUAAAAUAUUGAAUGUUGAAUGUCCACAGGUCUAUGGCAGGUCUAUGACAGGUCUAUGGCAGUUCUAUGACAAGUCUAUGACAGGUCUAUGGCAGGUCUAUGGCAGGUCUAUGACAGGUCUAUGACAGGUCAAUGGCAGGUCUAUGACAGGUAUAUGACAGGUCUAUGGCAGGUCUUUGACAGGUCUAUGGCAGGUCUAUGGCAGGUCUAUGACAGGUCUAUGGCAGGUCUAUGACAGGUCUAAUGGCAGGUCUAUGGCAGGUCUAUGACAGGUCUAUGGCAGGUCUAAUGGCAGGUCUAUGACAGGUCUAUGACAGGUCUAUGGCAGGUCUAUGACAGGUCUAUGACAGGUCUAUGACAGGUCUAUGGCAGGUCUAUGGCAGGUCUAUGGCAGGUCUAUGGCAGGUCUAUGACAGGUCUAUGGCAGUUCUAUGACAAGUCUAUGACAGUUCUAUGGCAGGUCUAUGGCAGGUCUAUGACAGGUCUAUGACAGGUCUAUGACAGGUCUAAUGGCAGGUCUAUGUCUGAUACCAAAACAUUUGUUUUAGGCCCAGCUCUAACAAUUUGCACUUCAGAAAAAAAGACCCCACAUUCUCUCUCUGGUCAAAUAUAUUUUUUUGUUUCAAAAAAGAAAUGAAAUCUAACCCUGAAAUACUACUAGUUUUUCCCUGGAGAUUUCCCAGGAAGAAUCUGGAAGAAAAGGCCACUGAAUCAACAUUUAAGGUCUCUUUAACCAAAAUGAAAGGCCCCGCCUACAGGCUACAAUGGUAGGGAAAACACUGCAAUACAAAACUACUGUUCUAAACCUAUUAUUACUGUCAUUUAUACUGUUUCUAUGACGAUGAUGGUUAUUUUAUUUAAGAUGUUUUUAUUCCUAUAACGACCAUUUAUUUAUAACAAUUUAAUAAGAAAUAAUGAUUAAAUAUUUUAUGAGAUGA